UAUCAAUUCUCCCCUGCUUUCCUCUGGACUUAUUAACCUGACUGACAGAGGCAGAGGAAGAGUGUGGUGAAGCAGGAUGGGGAGCUCCUGAUCUUCCUUGGAGCCCUUCUGCCCAUGAAUGACCCAGGAAACAACCUGGGUCAAAAAGAACAGCCAUGAGAAACCAGAAGCUUUGGAGAAAUCAACUUUAGAGGAAGGUCUUCAAUAAUUCAACGUCUCCACCAAGCAGGCACUGCUGUGUUUUUCCACUUCCAUGGGAAAAUGACAGUGUCUUUUAAUGGUGCUAUGAUGAGUGACCAGAAACAGUUUAAUUAAAAAAAGGAAGCCUUUCUUAAAAUUAAAACACCCUGCAUUUUGCAUUGAUAAUGAGACCAGUAAUGGCCAGAACAGAUUACAGGUGGCUCCAGACUUUGAGAU